AGCAACAAGCCGAGUGUGGUAUUGUAGAAAGAGUUACUUCAAAUGCACAAAGCAAAUUUAAGUUACUUUAUUUCGAGCAAGAUGUGAAUGGCGGUUAUGGUUUGGCCCUACAGAUGGAUAAUUGAUCCUCCUCUGGAGGUCAAUGUACCAUCAAAACGCACACCAUGGCCUGAUGCCCCUCCUGAACUCCCUACCAAUGAAAAUGUAGUGUUGGGCAUCCAAGAGCAUGCUGUAAAGC